GCCCCUAUAGCUCAGUGGUAGAGCACCCGCUUAGUAAGCGGGAGGUCGGUAGUUCAAUCCUGCCUGGGGGCA
rfam:Phytophthora infestans T30-4 supercont1.33 genomic scaffold, whole genome shotgun sequence.